UCUCUUGUGUUGGCAACAUGGAGGACCCAUACUAGGAAGCGCUAACUGCAGAAUGCCGGUUUUAGAUGUUCUGAUGAAUUUAUGUCAAAAUAUGGAGUUUACUGCUGAUGAGCCGCCGUGAACAGGCAGCUGUGGCCGAUGAGGAACGAGGCUCAUCUUCCUGCCAGAGUCUAGGAGGCUAAUCAUCAUCAUCGUAAUGAAAGAUUCAUAGUUCCUGUGUCCCACUUGACAUUGACUGCCAGAGGGAAGGCCGAGGAGCAUGGUGAAAAGGUCUUGCGCUGCAAAGCAAGACUACAAGACGACACCUGAAUGCUGCCAUGAGCUGAACAGGUGAAAUCCAUGGAGAAGUGGACAACGCUAGCUUGGCACUGAUCCAGAAGUCUGACAUCAUCGUAUAAUCCUCAGAGUGAUGAUAGUAUUUGUUUUGUAAGCAAAGUAUAAAACCAUGUUUGAUGUAAAACGUGUUUAAUAAAUGCAAGAGUUGUACGAAAUUCAAGUAUUCUGCACAUGAAAUGUAACAUGAAUCCUACUGGGAGCACUCAGCAUGUGUUGGUCAGUCUGUGUUGAAGGAUAAUCUGUAAGAUUUCUUCUUCAGAUUGUCCAAGAAGAUCUGCUCUUCCUGGAGGUAGUCACGGUCCUGUGUGCAGGAAAAGACAGUAAUGGUGAACAAAAACAAAAUUGUAUGUGAAAUGUUUGGCUUCUACUGGCAGAAGCUGCCAUGGUAGCCAACUACAAAUGUGUUGAAAAGAUGUGUGAUUGUGGGUGAGCCACAACAUGUUGAUAUAAUUGGGCUCUUUGUUUCAUAUUCCCAUUAAAAGCCUUGACAG